GCGCACGUGGCGGAAUUGGUAGACGCGCCAGCUUGAGGGGCUGGUGCCCUCCGGGGCGUGGUGGUUCGAGUCCACUCGUGCGCA
rnacentral:tRNA from 1 species